rnacentral:misc_RNA from 1 species
CUGUGUUGCUUACCAACGGAAUGGAAUUUCAUUGGAUUCAUGUUUACAUCCGCCCGGUGCCCUUGAGGUUGCUGGGUGGACGAAGAGCUUGCCUCGUGUUCCAGGCAUGCCGCGCUUUGUUGUGCGGUUGUUGUGGCUCAUGGGGUUAUGCUCGUUCUCUCGGAUGCGGAUCGUAAUGUGCGGGCGAGGGGCAACGACCUCCAUUCGUCCGAAUUNUGCAUUUGUCAAUCUGACAUGAACGACUGCCGUCCUCGUCUUGGCUCUAGGGUCUCAAGGCUCUAUGAGAUUUCAUGCGAGCGUCGGCGUCGUGAAGGAAUGCUACCUGGUUGAUCCUGCCAGUAGUCAUAUG